CUCGAGAUACCCUAAAGUACGUUAACCAAGACUCUUAAAUAAAAAAAAAACAAAUUCCUUAGAAAAGAAAAGAAAAGAAAAAUCGAAUUCCCUAAACCUUUUAGUCUACCCAUUCAUCUCGUCUGCUCCGAUGCACCGGAAAACCCAUAUGUGGGAGUGGAAAUCCCUUAGACUUCUUGAAUUAGUUCUCUCUUCAUUUCCCUAGUCCUCCGAUUCGCUGAGCUCAUCGAAGAUUCUCUUGAAAAUAGAGGCCAUACCCUUUGGACUUAGAACAAUAACCCCCAUCUUACAUUCGUUGCUCGUUUAAGAUGAUAGCCUCAUUUUCUGGAGGGGUUUCUUCCAUCCAGUGUCUCUGGCUUUCACACUGUCAUCCCCAACUUGCCAUCUCGUGGGUUGCUCUAUUCGCCGUGCUUGGGACAAAACGGGAGAAUCGCAAGCUUAUCGCCCUCACCUCACAGGUUGUCAAAAUCCAUUUCCUCGAUAAAGAUAACCGCCUGAAGGCAUGCAUACGCUCCUGAUGUUAUUGGAUCUUGAAAAUUUUUGAUUGGGUAAGCACAUGCCCCCAUGAUCAUGCCUUGGUUGUUUCUUAUAAUUACUCAUGCGGUAGCUCUUUGUAUCUACUGUUGGUAGGAUGCCUCAAAGUUAACUUUUAGUGUCUCUCUCAAGGGGCUCCCAUCUUGUUUCUCUAGAGUCAUUUUGAUGUAUUGGUAUCUCUUCUAAAAUGAGUAACUCUGCUAAAUAUGCUUUGAUGAAACUUACGACCUGAUCUGCCAUUUCUCUCUUUCCUUCAUGGUAGUAUAUAUUUUUGUUGUACCAAAUUGCCUAAAAAAUUAUGGCUAUAUGUAUACUCUGUUCAUUAUUAUUCUUUUCAAAAAUAGAUGCUAACCAGAAUUUCCAUUCUUAACUAAUGUCGACAUGCGAGGUUACCAAUCCAAUCUGCUGUAGAACCUGUCUUGCAAAUCGGGCAAAGAGCCUCAUCCCUUAAUCUUUUUUUGCUGUAAAUUACUUAAUGUAGGCAGAGAAUUAUUAAAUACAUUCCAAAUAUGUAUUCUGAUAUUGUCUGGGAUUUUGAGAUUGCAUAGCUUUAUGUAAAAGUUUUUUAUGGCCGUGUCUUGUAAAUAAUUGUUUGCCUUGUCCCAUUCUGAUUACUUGUAAUACACCACUUGUAACCACUUUUAACGGAGUAUUCCUCUGUACUAUCGCCUCUCCAAACUAGCUUUUCUGGAAAGGAGUUAUUCACCAGUGGGAUAGUUAGGGUCUUUUUUGCUGGUUCCUCUGUGAAAAGAUCUUCAAUUAUAUCCUCUUUCCAGGCCCUGGAAUCCACAUGUCAUUCCAAAUAUUCACAGAUAUGCCAUUUUCGUUUCUUCAUCUAAGUUUUUCCUGCAAGAUAAAAUGUGCUCCCCAAAUGCUUCGUCAGGUAAAAGAAGGGUGAGAUCCUAAUCCUGCGUUCAUAAAAUCACUCGUUAGGUAGUAUUUCGCUUUCAUUACCUGUGCUAACAGACUGGUAGAAUUGGUAAUUAGUUUCCAUCUUUGCUUUGCUAAAAGGGUUUUAUUAAAAAUUGAUAACUCUCUAAACCAAUUCCUUAUUGCGUCUUUAGGAUACACAUAGCAUUUCAAGCACACCAAUGUAUCCUUUUAUUUAUCUUCAAGUUACGCCACUAGAACUUACAAAUUUGACUUUCAAAUUCUUGGCAUAAAGAAAUUGGCAAUAUAAAGCACUACAUAGUAUAAAUUGGGAUAACCUAUAGUACGGAUUUUAUAAAAAUCUCAUUUCCUCCUAUUGAAAGGUUACGAACACUCCAUGCUUUAAACCUUUUAAUAAUUUUUUCUUUCAUGUUGACAAACGCAUUUCUUUUCCUUCUCCCUACCAUCGUGGGCAAUCCAAGAUACUUCUCAGGAUUAUUUGAAAUUCUAACACCCAAUUCACCACCUAUUCUUGUUUGGUCUUCCUCACUUGUGUUAUUGCUAAAGUAAAUCAAGGACUUGUCGAAAUUCACCAAUUGUCCAGACAUAUUUUCAUAGUCCUUGAUAAUUGUUUUCAUUGCCAAAGCCCCUUCCAAUGAAGCCUUUCCAAAUAGUAUACUAUCAUCCGCAAAGAAUAAAUGCGUAAUUGAAAGCCCUCCUCUCCCCAAUCUUUCCAUCCCUCAUUGCAUGGCUGAGCAGUCUUGAAAAUCCUUUUGUAUAGUUAAUAAAUAAAUAUGGACUUAAUGGAUCGCCUUGCUGAAGCCCUGCUGUGGGUUUAAAAACUGCCUCUUGCCCCCUAUUUAACAGCACUGAAUAGGAAACACUUUGAACACAUCUCAUUAUCAAAGUGACCCAUCCUUCACAAAAGUCGAGGCCUCUCAUCAUGUUUUCCAAAAAUAUCCACCCUAUCAUAGGCUUUACUCAUGUCAAGCUUCAAUGUAAAAUUCUCAUGCCCUUGUCGUUUCUUUUUUAAAGAAUGCAGCAACUCUUAAGCCACCAAAAUGUUGUUUGUAAUUUGUUUUCCAGGCACGAACGCUCAUUGUGUUUCAUCUAUACAGCUAUUAAGGGCUUUUCGAAACUUAUUGAUAAUUACCCUUGCAAUAAUUUUGUAAAUCACAUAUUUUUUUGGUGCUUUCACUUUGGGUAUCAACACGAUGGAGGUAUCAUUAACACCUCUUAAAUCUUUGUGGUUAUUCAAAACUUCCAAACAAAAUUUGACGUCUCUUCCUAUUAUAUGCCAACACUUUUGGUAAAAGAAAGUGGAGAAUCCAUCCUUUCCCGAGGCCUUAAUUGGCGCCAUUGACUUCAUCGCUUCAGUUAUUUCUUCCUCCUUAAACCUGGUUAAUAACUCGUUACUGACAGCACUUGAUAUACAUGAAUGGAUGUUACUCGUAAGUACUUCACUACUGGAAACGGGUUUUGAUGAAAGCAACUACUUAAAAUAAUUUGUUUUCGAAUCAAGAAGUUUCGCAUCUCCCUCCACCCAUCUUCCAGCUGAAACUUCAAGCCCUUUGAUAGUAUUUCUACGCUUGCGAGAAGAUGCAAAAUCAUGAAAGAAGGAAGUAUUAUGAUCCCCCAUUCGUAACCAAUUGACUCUAGCACGUUGC